rnacentral:rRNA from 1 species
UACGUAGGUGGCAAGCGUUGUCCGGAAUCAUUGGGCGUAAAGAGCGUGUAGGCGGCUAUUUAAGUCCUGCGUGAAAUCCUGCGGCUCAACCGCAGACGGUCGUGGGAAACUGGAUGGCUAGAGUGCGGGAGAGGAGAGUGGAAUUCCCGGUGUAGCGGUGAAAUGCGCAGAUAUCGGGAAGAACACCCGUGGCGAAGGCGGCUCUCUGGACCGCAACUGACGCUGAGACGCGAAAGCGUGGGGAGCAAACAGG